CAGAUGCGAACGCUAAAGAUUAUCUCCUCAGUAUUAUUCCUCGGUCGAGCGCCGGCACAAGUUGCAAAUCUAACGGGAUGCUCAUCAAUUAUUCAUAAUUUUUUUAAAGCAAUAUCUUCAAUUAAUGGCGCUGCGUUGUUAUCUUAUAUGCUGGACGUAUUAUACAGGUUAAUCGCAAAGAUGUGAAAUUCACGUGUAUCACAUAAAGGAAAAUUGUUAUCAAGGGUCGCUUACCACGGGUCGCUUACCACUGGCCUUCUCAUUUCAAAGGCCUGCUAGCAGUCAAAGGAGAAGCAGUGCCGUGCACGGCGGUCUAACGGACAGCGUAGUAAAUAAAGCAGCGUCAUUUAAUGCAAAAAUAAGUAUAUCAUGCUUUGGACUUGUAAUAAUGAGUUAAGAAAUGUCUAAUUAAAUUUAGACAAAUUAUAUCUACACCCACACAACGUACGCGCGCACACACAUACGACGAUGCCUCAAUUGCUAUCUGCUAAAUCGUUAGACCGGUGUAUAAGUGAAACAGUAAGCGAUGUUGAGAUCCGAACUUUAGCGAUAAUAAUAAUUACAUGUGCAAAAAGACUGACUGGAUUUAAAUAAAAUUAUCAAAGAUGUUUUUAA